GGGGCCUUGUACACACCGAGUCCUGUACACACCGGGGCCUUGUACACACCGAUCGGGGCUCCAGAGACGGAGCUCUUCAAUUGGUCGGUGACAGGUGCUGCAUGGCUGUCGUCAGUUCGUGUCGUGGGAUAUUGGGUUAAGUCCCGCAACGAGCGCAACCCUUGCCAUUAGUUGCCAUCAUUUAGUUGGGAACUCUGGAGGGACUGCCGGCGCCAAGCCGGAGGAAGGUGGGGAUGACGUCAAGUCAUCAUGGCCUUUAUGGCUGGGGCUACACACGUACUACAAUGGCGCCUACAAAGGGCUGCGAAGCGGCGACGUGAAGCAAAUCCCAAAAAAGACGCCUCAGUUCGGAUAGGAGUCUGCAACUCGACUCCAUGAAGUCGGAAUCGCUAGUAAUCGCGGAUCAGAAAUCCGUGCGCUCUACUCUUGCUGCUGCUAAUUAAUUCAAUAUAUUCAUUCUGUGGGGAUCCCGGGGGGGAAUAAGACACUGAAACGGGGGGCCUUGUACACACCG
rnacentral:rRNA from 1 species